AAAUAGGCAAACCCUAAGUUUCCGUGUCUAACAUUUGACUAUCCGUCUUAUAUAAAUUUUUUUAUAAUUAGUAUUUUCAUUGUUGUUAUAUGAUAAAACAUGAUUAAUACUUUAUAUAUGACUUGUCUUUUUAAUUAUUUUCAUAUUUUUUUAAAUAAGAUAAUGGUUAAAUGUUGGACACGGAAACUAAG
rfam:Oryza glaberrima chromosome 6 Oglab06_0071_13, whole genome shotgun sequence.